GUUGUGGCUCAGUGCUAGAGUGCCUGCCUCACAUGUGUGAGGCACUGGGUUCAAUCCUCAGCACAACA
rnacentral:tRNA from 1 species